rnacentral:misc_RNA from 1 species
UCUCCGUAGGUGAACCUGCGGAGGGAUCAUUACUGAGUGAGGGUUUAACCGCCCGACCUCCAACCCUUUGUGAAUCGUACUCGUUGCUUCGGGGGCGACCCUGCCGUCCGCGGCUGAGCGCCCCCGGGGUCAAUCAAACACUGCAUCAUUGCGUCGGAGUUAAAGUAAAUUAAACAAAACUUUCAACAACGGAUCUCUUGGUUCCAGCAUCGAUGAAGAACGCAGC